rnacentral:rRNA from 1 species
AUUGAACGCCGGCGGCAGGCCUAACACAUGCAAGUCGAGCGGAUGAAGAGAGCUUGCUCUCUGAUUUAGCGGCGGACGGGUGAGUAAUGCCUAGGAAUCUGCCUGGUAGUGGGGGAUAACGUUCCGAAAGGAACGCUAAUACCGCAUACGUCCUACGGGAGAAAGCAGGGGACCUUCGGGCCUUGCGCUAUCAGAUGAGCCUAGGUCGGAUUAGCUAGUUGGUGAGGUAAUGGCUCACCAAGGCUACGAUCCGUAACUGGUCUGAGAGGAUGAUCAGUCACACUGGAACUGAGACACGGUCCAGACUCCUACGGGAGGCAGCAGUGGGGAAUAUUGGACAAUGGGCAAAAGCCUGAUCCAGCCAUGCCGCGUGUGUGAAGAAGGUCUUCGGAUUGUAAAGCACUUUAAGUUGGGAGGAAGGGCAGUAAGUUAAUACCUUGCUGUUUUGACGUUACCGACAGAAUAAGCACCGGCUAACUUCGUGCCAGCAGCCGCGGUAAAAC